GAUGAACGCUGGCGGCGUGCCUAAUACAUGCAAGUCGAGCGAAUUGACAGAGGUGCUUGCACCUCUCGAUUUUAGCGGCGGACGGGUGAGUAACACGUGGGUAACCUACCUAUAAGACUGGGAUAACUUCGGGAAACCGGAGCUAAUACCGGAUAAUAUUUAGCUUCGCAUGAAGCAAUAGUGAAAGACGGUUAAGCUGUCACUUAUAGAUGGACCUGCGGUGUAUUAGCUAGUUGGAGAGGUAACGGAUCACAAAGGCAACGAUACAUAGCCGACCUGAGAGGGUGAUCGGCCACACUGGGACUGAGACACGGCCCAGACUCCUACGGGAGGCAGCAGUAGGGAAUCUUCCGCAAUGGACGAAAGUCUGACGGAGCAACGCCGCGUGAGUGAAGAAGGUUUUCGGAUCGUAAAACUCUGUUGUAAGGGAAGAACAAGUACGUUAGUAACUGAACGUACCUUGACGGUACCUUACCAGAAAGCCACGGCUAACUACGUGCCAGCCGCCGCAGUAACAC
rnacentral:rRNA from 1 species